UACGUAGGGGGCAAGCGUUGUCCGGAAUCAUUGGGCGUAAAGAGCGCGUAGGCGGCCCUGUAAGUCCGCUGUGAAAGUCAAGGGCUCAACCCUUGAAUGCCGGUGGAUACUGCAGGGCUAGAGUCCGGAAGAGGCGAGUGGAAUCCUGGUGUAGCGGUGAAAUGACGCAGAUAUCAGGAGGAACACCGAUGGCGAAGGCAGCUCGCUGGGACGGUACUGACGCUGAGGCGCGAAAGCGUGGGGAGCAAACAGG
rnacentral:rRNA from 1 species